CACGUAGGCACCAAGCGUUGUCCGGAUUUAUUGGGCGUAAAGAGCUCGUAGGCGGUUGAGUAAGUCGGGUGUGAAAACUCUGGGCUUAACCCAGAGCCGCCACUCGAUACUGCUCUGACUUGAGUUCGGUAGGGGAGCAGGGAAUUCCUAGUGUAGAGGUGAAAUUCGUAGAUAUUAGGAAGAACACCAGUGGCGAAGGCGGCUCACUGGUCCGGUACUGACGCUGAGGUGCGAAAGCGUGGGGAGCAAACAGG
rnacentral:rRNA from 1 species